ACAGUAACUAACCACAGAGACCGGGCCUCUAGUAGCGGGUCAAAAUGCAUUGCAACUGGAUAAGAAAUUAUCUUUUUGUAACAUGGAAUCAUUAACAGGUCAGAGGUCACCAUAUUCUUGAGGCUGGGGAUGGAAUGAUAGACCAGGAAGCAGGCCAACAUGUUGCCAUGAGUGUCCUUGUUCAUUGGCUGUCCUCUCAAGUCUGCCGACGGUUCCGUCUCUGGUUGGCUGUGCUUGACGCAGUGAUUCCUGCACCCCACGCUCCGCAGCUACUGAAUCUCCAGCGCCACAGCAAAAGAAGUAGGGAGCCUGUGAUGACUGUUGCUUAUUUCUUUAUUUUGACAUGGACGAUUUGAAACCUAGAUAAGGUCGUAACAACCACAUCGGGUUACACUUGUGAGAUAAGAACAGAAAAUCAAGUCAGCAGUGGGCAAAGGCUCAACAAAACUGGACAGUUGAAGACUGGAUAAAUGUCACCUGGUCUGAUGAAUCUCGAUUUCUGCUGAGGCACACAGAUGGUUGGGUCAGAAUCUGGUGCCAUAGACCCAGCGUGCUUUAGUUUCAACAGUCCAGGCUGCUGGUGGUGUAAUGGUGUCUUGGCACACUUUGGACCCGUUAAUACCAAUCAAUCAUCGCUUGAAUGCCACAGCCUAUUUGAGUAUUGCUGCUGACCAUGAGCAUCCCAUCAUGGUCAGCAAUUUACCCAUCUUCUAAUGGCUACUUCCAGCAUGAUAAUGCACCAUGACACAAAGCAAAAGUCGUCUUAAACUGGUUUCAUGAACAUGACAAUAAGUUAACUGUUCUUCAGCGGCCUGCCAAGUCAGCAUGAAUGCACAGCUGACGAAUCUGCAGAAAUUGUGUAAUGCAAUCAACAUGUCAACAUGGACCAGAAUCCCAAAGGAAUGUUUCCAACAUCUUGUGGAAUCCGUGACAUGAAGAAUUGAGGCUGUUCUGGGAGCAAAGGGAGGCCCUAUCCAGUAUUAGUGUAAUGUUCCUAUUAAAGUUACUAUUGUAAAAAAAAAAAAAUCAUAAUAAUAGUGUUAAGUAAUAAUAAUAAACCUGACUGGGUUCCACAAUAAUAAUUCUGUAUUAUAAUAUUCAACCGGGUUGCAAAAACUUAAGUGAGUGAAGUUGUAGUUUUUGCACACCCUGAUUAUUCACAAAAAAUAUUUUAGUAAAAAUAUAUUUUGGUAAAUAAAGUUAUUACAUUGUAUUUUUGUA